UACGUAGGUCCCGAGCGUUGUCCGGAUUUAUUGGGCGUAAAGCGAGCGCAGGUGGUUUAUUAAGUCUGGUGUAAAAGGCAGUGGCUCAACCAUUGUAUGCAUUGGAAACUGGUAGACUUGAGUGCAGGAGAGGAGAGUGGAACUCCAUGUGUAGCGGUGAAAUGCGUAGAUAUACGGAGGAACACCGGUGGCGAAAGCGGCUCUCUGGCCUGUAACUGACACUGAGGCUCGAAAGCGUGGGGAGCAAAUAGG
rnacentral:rRNA from 1 species